rnacentral:rRNA from 1 species
AGCAGCCGCGGUAAUUCCAGCUCCAAUAGCGUAUAUUAAAGUUGUUGCAGUUAAAAAGCUCGUAGUUGAACCUUGGGCCUGGCUGGCCGGUCCGCCUCACCGCGUGCACUGGUCCGGCCGGGCCUUUCCUUCUGGGGAGCCGCAUGGCCUUCACUGGCCGUGUCGGGGAACCAGGACUUUUACUUUGAAAAAAUUAGAGUGUUCAAAGCAGGCCUUUGCUCGGAUACAUUAGCAUGGAAUAAUAGAAUAGGACGCGCGGUUCUAUUUUGUUGGUUUCUAGGACCGCCGUAAUGAUUAAUAGGGAUAGUCGGGGGCAUCCGUAUUCAAUUGUCAGAGGUGAAAUUCUUGGGUUUAUUGAAGACUAACUACUGCGAAAGCAUUUGCCAAGGAUGUUUUCAUUAAUCAGUGAACGAAAGUUAGGGGAUYGAGGACGAUCAGAUACCGUCGUAGUCUUAACCAUAAACUAUGCCGA